CUUUAGUCAAGUAGUUUGACAAACCACACAGGAUUACCUAAAACUUAUUAAGAGAGAGAAAACAUCCUCAUUCUCUGUCUAGCCCAUGUUUAUUUAAAAGAGGGUGGUCGUCUGAGAGUGUCAUUGCCAUUGAAGUCCUUCUUUAUUUCCAUUGUUGUAAGAAUGAUUAAGCUCGGUAAUUAUGUAAAUUUGCAUCUAUUGUUUUAGUUGUGGCACUAUAAAUUGAAUGUUGGGUUGUUGGAGACUAGUCUUUGUUUUCAAUAAAGAAUCUUGG